UGGGGAAUUUUGCACAAUGGGGGAAACCCUGAUGCAGCAACGCCGCGUGAGUGAAGAAGGCCCUUGGGUUGUAAAGCUCUUUCGGCGGGGAAGAAGGGUCUUUUAGUGAAUAAUUAAAAGAUUUGACGGUACCCGAAGAAGAAGCACCUGCUAACUACGUGCCAGCAGCAGCGGUAAUACGUAGGGUGCAAGCGUUGUUCGGAAUUAUUGGGCGUAAAGCGCGAGUCGGCUGGUUGAUAAGUCGGUUGUGAAAGCCCUGGGCUUAACCCAGGAAUUGCAUCCGAAACUAUCGAUCUUGAAUGCUUGAGGGGGUGGUGGAAUUCCAGGUGUAGAAGUGAAAUUCGUAGAUAUCUGGAGGAACACCGGAGGCGAAGGCGGCCACCUGGCAAGACAUUGACGCUAAACCGCGAAAGCGUGGGGAGCAAACAGG
rnacentral:rRNA from 1 species